GCCAAGUGUUACCAAGUUUUUUUCUCUCUCUCUUCCUUGUCCGUUCCAAACAAGGAAAGAAAAUAAAAGAGCUCGGCUUCCUUAUUCUAAAACCAAUCCUUAAUCUCUUAAAUUUCUAUUGAAACCCGAUCCUUCUAAUUUCGGCUAAAUCUCCAACGAAUUUGGUAAGAAACUGAAGUGAGGUAUUGAUUAGAAGAAACCGAGCAACACUAACAGUAGAGGGGUUGUGUCAACUGAUUUUUUUUCUAGAAUUGAAACGAAGUCCAAUUCAAGUAAGUUUUAUAUUUAUAAUAGAAAGAAUUGAUAAUAAAUAUUGUCUAUGAUAAGUGUUGCUGUGAAUAAUUUGUUGAUUUGACUAUGUUGGUUAAGGAAGUUUUGUGCAGGGUGUUGGGAUGUGAUUAUUUGGGUUUAGCAUAUUUAAUUGUCCGGAUCUGAUAAUGACUCAUAUGUAUAGAAUUCUUAUCAAGGAAAGAUUGUGUUUCCUUAUUUGGUAGGAUAAGGAGGUUUAAUUAGGACUCCUACUUCUAAUUGGAUUCAGCAGUUAUAAGGUAAUUCUGAAAAGGACUUCUACUCCUAAUUGGAUUCAGGUGGAUAUGACAUCUAUAAAUACAACAAUAAGGAGGAACAGAAGACAAUAGCAUACAACACAAAUACACAACUUGUACUCCCAAUAUUAUUAUAGUGGAUUACUCUCUCUCUUUCCGUGAUUUUUGCCCAAUUGAGUUUCCACGUAAAUCUUGUGUUCAUAUUUAUAUUCAUUUAUUUAUGCUUAUGUGAAUAUAUUUCGUGAGUUUGAUUUCACAACAAUACAAUCAACCGUUAGCGCGAUUUUGGUAUGCUAUUUUGGUGAUUUCGUCAG
rnacentral:lncRNA from 1 species